rnacentral:misc_RNA from 1 species
GGGGUUACAGACAACAGACAACAAACUCUGAAUGAGAGCCAAUCAAUCCCAUUGAAGCCCAAAGACUAACAUGUCUUUGAGGAUGAAAAAAGAAGGCACUAAAAUCGAUCUAAAAUUAGUAAUUGAAGAAGAGAUAAAAAUGGAUGCAUUUGGACAUCCCAGAAGAAAUUUUGCCCUUUCAAAGUGAUCAGUAAAUAUUUUUUUGUAAAGACUUCAUUGUAGCAGCUAAAAUUCUUACAAUUUGCAUUCUAUAUGAAACAAAACUGAAUAACAGAUCU